UUUAAUGUUUGAUGUUCUAACGUGGACCCGUAAUCCGGGUUGCGGACAGUGUCUGGUGGGUAGUUUGACUGGGGCGGUCUCCUCCUAAAGAGUAACGGAGGAGCACGAAGGUUGGCUAAUCCUGGUCGGACAUCAGGAGGUUAGUGCAAUGGCAUAAGCCAGCUUGACUGCGAGCGUGACGGCGCGAGCAGGUGCGAAAGCAGGUCAUAGUGAUCCGGUGGUUCUGAAUGGAAGGGCCAUCGCUCAACGGAUAAAAGGUACUCCGGGGAUAACAGGCUGAUACCGCCCAAGAGUUCAUAUCGACGGCGGUGUUUGGCACCUCGAUGUCGGCUCAUCACAUCCUGGGGCUGAAGUAGGUCCCAAGGGUAUGGCUGUUCGCCAUUUAAAGUGGUACGCGAGCUGGGUUUAGAACGUCGUGAGACAGUUCGGUCCCUAUCUGCCGUGGGCGCUGGAGAACUGAGGGGGGCUGCUCCUAGUACGAGAGGACCGGAGUGGACGCAUCACUGGUGUUCGGGUUGUCAUGCCAAUGGCACUGCCCGGUAGCUAAAUGCGGAAGAGAUAAGUGCUGAAAGCAUCUAAGCACGAAACUUGCCCCGAGAUGAGUUCUCCCUGAGACUUAGAGUCUCCUGAAGGAACGUUGAAGACGACGACGUUGAUAGGCCGGGUGUGUAAGCGCAGCGAUGCGUUGAGCUAACCGGUACUAAUGAACCGUGAGGCUUAACCUUACA
rnacentral:rRNA from 1 species